GAUGAACGCUGGCGGCGUGCCUAAUACAUGCAAGUCGAGCGAACGGACGAGAAGCUUGCUUCUCUGAUGUUAGCGGCGGACGGGUGAGUAACACGUGGAUAACCUACCUAUAAGACUGGGAUAACUUCAGGAAACCGGAGCUAAUACCGGAUAAUAUUUUGAACCGCAUGGUUCAAAAGUGAAAGACGGUCUUGCUGUCACUUAUAGAUGGAUCCGCGCUGCAUUAGCUAGUUGGUAAGGUAACGGCUUACCAAGGCAACGAUGCAUAGCCGACCUGAGAGGGUGAUCGGCCACACUGGAACUGAGACACGGUCCAGACUCCUACGGGAGGCAGCAGUAGGGAAUCUUCCGCAAUGGGCGAAAGCCUGACGGAGCAACGCCGAGUGAGUGAUGAAGGUCUUCGGAUCGUAAAACUCUGUUAUUAGGGAAGAACAUAUGUGUAAGUAACUGUGCACAUCUUGACGGUACCUAAUCAGAAAGCCACGGCUAACUACGUG
rnacentral:rRNA from 1 species